AAAAUACCCCCUCCGUUCCAAAUUACUCGUCGCAGAAAUGGAUGUAUCUAGAACUAAAAUACAUCUAGAUACAUUCAUACCUGCAACAAGUAAUUCGGAAUGGAGGGAGUAGUAU
rfam:Triticum urartu cultivar G1812 contig294814, whole genome shotgun sequence.